rnacentral:rRNA from 1 species
UAGAGUUUGAUCCUGGCUCAGAUUGAACGCUGGCGGCAGGCCUAACACAUGCAAGUCGAGCGGAUGAAGGGAGCUUGCUCCCUGAUUUAGCGGCGGACGGGUGAGUAAUGCCUAGGAAUCUGCCUGGUAGUGGGGGAUAACGUUCCGAAAGGAACGCUAAUACCGCAUACGUCCUACGGGAGAAAGCAGGGGACCUUCGGGCCUCGCGCUAUCAGAUGAGCCUAGGUCGGAUUAGCUAGUUGGUGAGGUAAUGGCUCACCAAGGCGACGAUCCGUAACUGGUCUGAGAGGAUGAUCAGUCACACUGGAACUGAGACACGGUCCAGACUCCUACGGGAGGCAGCAGUGGGGAAUAUUGGACAAUGGGCGAAAGCCUGAUCCAGCCAUGCCGCGUGUGUGAAGAAGGUCUUCGGAUUGUAAAGCACUUUAAGUUGGGAGGAAGGGCAGUAAGCUAAUACCUUGCUGUUUUGACGUUACCGACAGAAUAAGCACCGGCUAACUUCGUGCCAGCAGCCGCGGUAAUACAAAGGGUGCAAGCGUUAAUCGGAAUUACUGGGCGUAAAGCGCGCGUAGGUGGUUCGUUAAGUUGGAUGUGAAAGCCCCGGGCUCAACCUGGGAACUGCAUCCAAAACUGGCGAGCUAGAGUACGGUAGAGGGUGGUGGAAUUUCCUGUGUAGCGGUGAAAUGCGUAGAUAUUCGGAAGAACACCCAGUGGCGAAGGCGGCUCACUGGACGACUGAUGACGCUGAGGUGCGAAAGCGUGGGGAGCAAACAGGAUUAGAUACCCUGGUAGUCCACGCCGUAAACGAUGAUAACUAGCUGUCCGGACACUUGGUGUCUGGGUGGCGCAGCUAACGCAUUAAGUUAUCCGCCUGGGGAGUACG